rnacentral:lncRNA from 1 species
UAAUGGUUUUGCAACAUUAGAUGCACAAUAUAUUUUGAAGCACCAAGUAUGCUUGAAAUUGAACAUUUUUAUAAAGAUAAUAAAAGUUAAUGACUACCCAUGAUCUAUGAUCUGACAAUACAUCUGUUCUUUCUCAUUUUGCGAUGAUAAAAUACCCACCCUAGCUUGUUGUGGCACAGUGAGAGAGAAGAAAUACAGUCCUAUUAAUCACUCUUAAGUAUCAGCUUAUUAAGUUAUAGUUUCUCAACAGGCUUGUCAUACAUGACUAUUAAUAGGCUGCAGGUGUUUCUCUAAAAGUCUUUUUAUAAUGCAGUUAUGUCAUUAAAAGACAGCAUGGAAUAACAGAAACCCUACUGGACUAAGAAUCAGAAAGUCUAAGUUUUAAAUUCUCAUUUGGUUAACAAGUAUCCCGGAAACCUUGCACAAGUCACCACCUCUCCGGGUCUCCAAUUUUCUCACCUGUAAAAUGAAGGGACUAAUUAUAAAUUGAAGAAAUAAGAAUGUGCCAAUUUACACCAGACCAGUAAGCAGGUUACAAAAACUCAGUACCUAAGACUUUUACCAAGGACAUUCUAACAGAAAUCUGCUCACAUUAAAAUAGCUUAAAACAAAUCAUAACAUUGGAAUUUCUGUUGCUAUUGUUAACCUUAAAAGUGAAUUUUAUUGCCUAAGAACUGUGGAAGUGCAGGAGAACAGAGAAACAUGUUUCACAUGAAAAAAUCUUGACUACUGAUACACACUGAUGUACCUUACAUUGUGGUAAAAAUAACCAAAUUUUUAUCUAUAUUUUUUAUAGACGGGGGUCUAUGUUGCCCAAGCUGGUCUCGAACUCCUGGCCUUCAGCAAUCCUCCUCCCUUGGUCUCCCAAAAUGCCAGGAUUACAGGCGUGAGCCACUGCACCUGGCCUCGUAUUUUCAUUAUUAGCUAAGCGCCUAUUCAUAAAGAAAGUUAUUACACACUCUCCAAUUGACAAAAGGGUUGCACCCCAAAAGCUUGUAAGUCUAAGUUUUGGAAACAUUAUAAGUGAAGCUAAGUUCCUAGUUCAGCUCACAAGAGCAUAAAUGAUCCUUGACAUCGCUGAACUAUACAAUAUAUUAUAAUAGCAAGGGCUCAAGUGCUGAGUCCUGUGAAUGGGGCUUGUGUCAUAAAGAAGAUGAGUUUCCUCCCCUGUUCUUGGGUAGGAGACUGGAGGUAGGCAAUGAUUAAAAUAAUUUACGUUCAUCACACAGCUUUGGCUCCCUUAAUAACUUCUUACACUCUGGUAGGGCAUUUAGCCCUAACUGUGCUGCUGUCCCACUACCAAAGGGUCCCUCCUUCCAACAUCCCUUUCUUGAGCCUUCAAGUAGUAAUUCUAUGACCACAGAGCAAUUGAUGGACAUUUCAACAAAUAACCCAGACAAUAUUAUCCCUCCUAGACUAUAAGCAGUUUUUAGAGAGGCUACCUGUUAUUUAUAAAAGCAACAAUAUUAGAAAUCUAAAUGUUAAUUUUAGAGACAUGGUCAAGUAAAUUACAAUGCAUCCAUACAACAGAACAUUAUGCCACCAUUCCACAAAAUGUUUACAAACAAGCCAGGCACAGUAGCAUGCAGCUGCAGUCCCAACCACUAGGAAGGCUGACGUGGGAGGAUCGCUUGAGCCCAGGAGUUCGAGUCCAGUCUGGGCAACAUAUAGAGAGACCUCCAUCUCUAGAUAAAGCAUUUUUUUAAUUAAAAAAGUUUUAAUGACAUGAAAAAUGUUGAAAACAAAAUGCUAAGUAAAUAAAGAAGAUACUAAGUGGUAUAUUCUUUAUGAACUCAACUGUGUAAAAAAUGAAUUGCUAUAGAAGAAAAAUAACACAAUUGUUGGGUAGUAGAAUUAUAAUUUAUUGCUUUUUACCAGUUAGUACACUAAUCUGCGCUUUGCAGAUGUUCCCGUAUUAAGUACCCCUUUUGUUAUUUAAAAAAGUUAAGGGAGAGAAGUCAUAAAUCUCUAAUUGGUAGAAUUAUAGAGAGCUAAAAACAGUGCUAAUUAUCAGGCAAUGUGGAAACAACUUUGUGGGCAAGAGAGCAUUCCUUUUUUUUUUUUUUUAACUGUUUACAAAGAGUUUAAACUUGUUUUAAAUUAAACACAUUAAACAAAAUUGUAAGUUUUGUGAUUAUGAAAAUACUGUUUAUCACUACAUAAAAUACUGUUUAUGGCACUUUAUAGAUUCAAAAAACCUAUUAAUGAUACUUCUUUUCUGGAUUAAAGAUAGUGAAUGUUUAUAUAUAUAUAAAAAAUACAGAAAAUAACACAGGUAUAUGAUUUAGAAAACAGGCGAAAAAAGUUAUGAAGUGGGAAAAGUCCAUCCCACUAUACAACUCAUUCCCAGAUACAGCAAGCCUCUUAUUCACCUCCUGAGAAAUUUUUGUUGCCCAUAAUCCCAUAUAUAUUUUAUUUCACGUCAUUCUCCUAUAUACUUUAUUUCACUCAUACCUUAGAAACAUUUACAUAUCAGUAUGUAUUGAUCCAUUUCAUUCUUUGAACAUACUAAUUAGUAUUCUACUCUAUGAUUGUGACACAUUAUUAGUCAGCCCCCUACCGAUAGACACUGAAGUUAUUCUGUUUUCCUCUAUCAUAAACAAGGCUUCAGUAUUAUUGGACAAAUAUCCUUAUAUACAUGAACAAGUGGAUCCCUAAGAUAUAAAUUCUUAUAAUUUUUGUGUCAAAGACUCUGCGU